rnacentral:rRNA from 1 species
GACGUAGGGCGCGAGCGUUGUCCGGAUUUAUUGGGCGUAAAGAGCUCGUAGGCGGCUUGUCGCGUCGUCCGUGAAAACCUGUGGCUCAACUGCAGGCUUGCGGUCGAUACGGGCAGGCUGGAGUUCGGUAGGGGAGACUGGAAUUCCUGGUGUAGCGGUGAAAUGCGCAGAUAUCAGGAAGAACACCCGUGGCGAAGGCGGCUCUCUGGGACGGUACUGACGCUGAGACGCGAAAGCGUGGGGAGCGAACAGG